UAGGGAAUCUUCGGCAAUGGACGGAAGUCUGACCGAGCAACGCCGCGUGAGUGAAGAAGGUUUUCGGAUCGUAAAGCUCUGUUGUCAGAUAAGAACGUUGGCAGGAGUGGAAAAUCUACCAAGCGACGGUAACUAACCAGAAAGGGACGGCUAACUACGUGCCAGCAGCCGCGGUAAUACGUAGGUCCCGAGCGUUGUCCGGAUUUAUUGGGCGUAAAGCGAGCGCAGGCGGUUCUUUAAGUCUGAAGUUAAAGGCAGUGGCUUAACCAUUGUACGCUUUGGAAACUGGAGGACUUGAGUGCAGAAGGGGAGAGUGGAAUUCCAUGUGUAGCGGUGAGAUGCGUAGAUAUAUGGAGGAACACCGGUGGUGAAAGCGGCGCUUUAGUAUGUAACUGACGCUGAGGCUCGAAAGCGUGGGGAGCAAACAGG
rnacentral:rRNA from 1 species